UGUUGUUCAUGAUCGUAUGUUUUCAAGGGAGGCUGAAUUGAAUUGAUUUUGGUUUAUGUCAGAACAUACCUUUAACACAAUAAGGAAAUAAAGUCAGUCACAUUACGUUGCACUUUUCCAUGUCAGAGGUCAUUUUUUGUGCACUUGAUCACAGCGUUCAGAGUCAUCCUACAGAUCUCUAUCUGGUGCGUUCUGUGUUCUCCCCUGCCUCCUCCCUGCAGUCUCCAAUCUCUUUCAGGUUGCACCUCCUGCAAACUCCACCUGUGUGCACCUUCCUCCACCCUAACAGGUCACUCUGUGCUCCUACUUAUUCUUAUACAUGCACCACAGUCAUUUCUAUCCUCUUCACAAAGCCCACCACCUUCUGUUCUGGCCGAGCAGCUGUGGCCAGAAGGUCGGUGGUGUAAUUCCUGGCCUCAGGAUCCAGGUGUCCUCAGACAAGACACCAAAACCCAAACUGUUCACGAUGGCUCUUCCAUCAGCAUGGUACCUGGUUCCUGGUAUCCUCGGCCACCGGCGUCCGAAUGUGUGUGACUGCUGGCUUUAGUUGUAAAGAGCUUUGAUUGGUCAGUCAGACUAGAAGAACCCAGUAUGAGUUCAGUCCAUCCGCCAUUCUAUAUUCCUGUCCAUGACAGAAGACCUACCCUCAUCAUCUCUUUUCCUUUGUCAACAUAUUGAAGUUUGCUCUUGUCACUCCUCCUCCUCCUCUUCCUUGUCCUGCUGCCCCUCCUCCUCCCGCUCGUCCUCCUCCUCCUACUCCUCAUCCUCGUCCUCCUCCUUUCCCUUCCAUCUCACACCCAACUUGUGGGCCAUCAUCACAGCUUCCAGCUUCAUACUCAGCACUCUGACACGCUCCUGCCUACCAGGGUUUCAUCUGACUUUGGACCAGCACUGAUGCACUGGCUGGAUUAAUCCACAGUGGCUGGAUUAAGGAUAGUGUUGUUAUAUGCAGAUGAUUCAUCAUUAUAUGCUGGUAUCAUCAUGUCUGUGCUGGCUUUUUUAGUGACAAUGGUAACAUUGGCAUUAACGUGCAUCAUUUCUUGCGUUGAUUGUUGCUUUUCUUCGUGGCUGAUUUUUUUUUUUUUUUUUUUGCAUUUACUACAGCUGAUAUGUGUCUGUGAGUCAAACUGGCCCUCUGGGCUGCACUCUAACACCUUUGGGUCUUUCAGAAGGAGAUGAUAUGAAAACAUAAAGCCUGAGCUCAGUCCGUGGGACCAGAGGUUGGUCGGUUCAGCACAGACCAGUCAGCACAGAGUGUGGACUCUGGAGCUGGAGAGGUGACUCCUCACCUCCAGGCCACUGCUGAGGUGCUCUUGAGCAAAGCACCAAACCCCAACUGCUGGAAUUUACUCAAGUACUGUACUUAAGUACAAUUUUGAGGAGGCUACGUUUGUAUGUCGAAAGUGGAUCCAAGGUCUGAAUCUGGAAACGGAUACAAGAUGUCUUUGGAGCGAGAGCUGCAGCUGAUGGAGGAAGAGGGACUGUGGACUCUUGUGGCCACUGAUGAGAUGAACAAA